UGCUCUGUGAUUUCUUGCAUACAUUGCAGUAUACGCUAUUCCGAUUUAACGUAUGAGUAGAAAUUUUAUUGCGUAUGAGAGCU